UUGUUUCUACAUCAAGGCUCAUUUGGUUCCUGAUACCACCCUAUACUAUCAAGUCCUUCAAAACAGUAAAUUAUUUCAUGCUACAUGCAGGUACCUUGAAG